GAUGAACGCUGACAGAAUGCUUAACACAUGCAAGUCGAUGGGGAAGUGGUGCUUGCACCAUGGUAACCAUGGCGGACGGGUGAGUAACGCGUAAGGAACUUGCCUGCGGGACUGGGAUAACAGCAGGAAACUGCUGAUAAUACCGGAUAAGGUCAUUAAGCUGCAUAGCUUAGUGAUGAAAGGAGACGCCUGCGGAGAGCCUUGCGUCCUAUUAGCUAGUUGGAGGGGUAACGGCCCACCAAGGCGAAGAUAGGUAGCCGGCCUGAGAGGGUGGACGGCCACAUGGGGAAGGAGAGACGGGCAAGACGCCUACGGGAGGCAGAAGAGGGGGAUAGGGCACAAGGGGCGGAAGGCUGAUGCAGCAACGCCGGGAGCGGGAUAAGUGGCGUCGGGGGGUAAACCGGGUUCGCCGGCGACGAAGCGUGAGUGACGGUAAUGGGUAAAGAAGCACCGGCUAAGUACGGG
rnacentral:rRNA from 1 species